CUUUUAAAUAAAGUAAAAUUUAAUGAAAGUAUACGAUUAAUGACAAGUCUCAUAAAGAUGUAUGUCAAUUAAAAGAUGUGUCAGAAGAGUGAAAUAAUAAAGUCGCAAUUUAAAGAAGGCACCUGAUCGAAUCGAUACUGAAACGUCCGUGAUCUUCGCGUGACCUCGUCGCAGUCAAAACAACCCUGAUUGCGCUAGUGAGAACCAUACUCCUCUCCACCACCCUCUAGACUACUCCGUCUCACUCCCUCUCUUUCCAGCUCUCUCUUUCUUGCUCUUCCCUACCCCUCUCAACCGGUGUGCUCUUACUGGUUACUUCGCACGGUUUGAGCUGGCCCGAUUGUCAGUCGGUUCCCGACUCUGAUAGUACAAGGAGUAAAGCAUAGCUGUACUGCACAAUCUCUCAUAUCACAAGAUUAUGCGAGAGCGCGCCGAAGUGCUCAUCUACUUCUCAAUUAAUCGAAUUAUCCGAUUACGAUAUAAUUCUCCUAUUGAGAUAGUCCUUUAAUAAGUUUAAAAAAGAUUUCUCUAAUCGAUAAUGAGCGCUGUCUAAAAUUCCUAAACGUAAGCUUGCGUAAUAUUCGCAAGGUACCGAAGGGGUGUUCUGAAAUUCGAAACGAGCGAAAGAACACCAAGGGAGAGGAAGAGGAAGAGGAAGAAAAAUCGGGCGAGAAGAAGAGGAGGUGUCAGUCGCUGUUACUUCGUCGAUCGUGCCCGGCACGUGCGCGUACCCGGCCCCUCGUGCCUUCGGAAGAAGAAGGGUGCAUCGGUGGAAGAAGCGAAGAAGGAGAGAAGAAGAAAAGGAAGCGGUCGAAGCGAAAAGUGACGGCAGUGCGCUCCGAACCGCCAAGCGGGACGCUGAGGAAGAGAGCGAAAUCGGUGCACGCGCAUUCAGAUGCGUGCCGCACCACGUGACUCUCCCGGGAUACCUUCAACCCCCGCUUAAAUAUUAUCGCGCCAUCAUCAGAUUGUCGUCGCGCGAUACUUGAUCGGAGAACUACAGGUCUCCGUGAAUUUCAUGCCGCGACAAUCGUAUACGUAUGGAUCAACAGAAAAACACAGUGCUGUUGUGAAUCUCUGACAAGACUAACAAUAAGAUGAUCCGCGUAAGGAUAGAUUCGCGCUAUUGCAUGCGCAUGGAUUGAAGGUGAUCGACAUGAACUGCGAUGAUUACGUGUGAACGAAGACACGACGAAGAUUUGUCACGUGAAUAGCAGCUGUAUUAUUCGCAUACGAGGGUGCAUCAAGAUGAAGACGUUGCAGAUUAUGCCGUAUUUAGCGGCGUUGAUCCUGACAAUAAUCGCCGAAGAGAAACCGACGAAUACAGUAUCCGUUUCCUCGGUUUCCUUGAGUUCGCCGACGGAGUAUCAGAGCAAUACGAUAAGGAAGGUGAUGAGCUACUUGGGAAAAUACGGGUUAGACGAUCAGAGGGCCCUGAAGAGAGUAUAUCUAAGCAACAGGUCGAUCACUUGCAACGAUGGAUCGCAGGCCGGUUUCUACCUACGAAAGUCCCACGGUUCCAGACGGUGGAUCAUGUACCUGGAGGGCGGCUGGUAUUGCUACGACCACAAGAGCUGUAGGACCAGGUGGAUGCGGAUGCGGCAUCUGAUGACGUCAACUCAGUGGCCCGAGACACGCGACGUGGGCGGGAUGCUCUCGCCGAAUCCCGAUGAGAAUCCAUUCUUUUGGGGCACGAAUCACGUUUUCGUUCCUUAUUGCACGAGCGACAGCUGGAGCGGCACUAGGGCCUUCAGGUCUCCGAACGACAUGUUCUCCUUCAUGGGGGCAGAGAUCGUGGCCCAGGUCAUUCGAGAUUUGGUUCCCCUUGGCCUCGAAAACGCGAGCGCCUUUCUUUUGGCUGGUAGCAGCGCCGGCGGUACCGGUGUUAUGCUGAAUCUAAAUCGCGUUCACAGUCUAAUACAUCACGAAUUAGGUUUGAGACACGUUGCUAUACGUGGUGUGUCGGACUCCGGAUGGUUCCUCGAUAGAGCGCCUUACUCUCCGAAUGGCCUGUCACCGGUCGAUGCGGUACAAAAAGGAAUGGAAUUAUGGAACUCUCGGAUGCCUCGUAAUUGCGUAAUUAAAUAUCCUAACGAGCCAUGGAAAUGCUUUUUUGGAUAUCGCCUUUACCCAACUUUGACCGCACCGUUGUUUGUCUUCCAAUGGAUAUUCGAUGAGGCCCAAAUGAAAGCCUACAACGUCGCUGCCCCAGUGACAAGACAACAAUGGGACUAUAUACAUAAGAUGGGCGACAGUCUGCGGCAGACGUUUGAAAACGUUACUGCGGUCUUCGCCCCGAGUUGCAUUAGUCACAGCGUCCUGACGAAAAGAGAUUGGAAGAUGAUCAAAAUAGACGAGGUUUCUUUCGCCCAGGCAUUGUUCUGUUGGGAUCAAAUGCCGAUCGGGAAUUAUCGUAACAACGAACACAACAAUACUCACUCGCAAAUCGAGACCACCCAACCGUGCGGGAAGUCGUUGAAAAAGCUAUUGCGUUCUGGUAUCAGAAAGGGAAAUGGUACCUUGAUCGAAGGCGGAAAAAGCAGAGUUGGAUCUUCUACGGAAACGCAAAAAGCUCGAUUGUCCGCCGUUGGCAAAAUGCACGAGAGAAAGCCGGUCUCCGGCUCGGUUCAAGAACGGGAGAAUAAGAAGAGGCGAAAGAGGAAACAUAAAAGCAGAAGGAGAGAGAGGAAGGAAAGAGAAAGAAGUAAAGAAGAGAGGAUGAAGAAAGAGAAACACCAGCGAAGAAAGAACGCUGGUCGUCGCAAAGGCGGCAAACAAGUUAAUGGCAACAAUCAUACAGCUAUAUUUAACGGCAUCAGGCCACAGCGAUCGGUAAUACCGUCAUUCAAACGGAAGUGCGUCAAGAACUGCCAUUUCCGUAUGAUCGAGCGCUGCACUUGGCCACAAUGUAACCAUAGCUGCCCCAAGCUACAUAAUCCUUUUACGGGCGAGGAAAUGGACUUUAUUGAACUGCUCAAGAGCUUUGGUCUAGACAUGAAAAGUGUCGCGAAUGCCCUCGGCAUCGAUAUACAUACGUUGAAUAGUAUGGAUCACAAUGAAUUGCUGAAUCUUCUGACACAACGCGCGAACUAACAAGACAUUCUGUCGUAAUGAUUAUGCAGAAUUCUUCUGCUUGCUUUAUUUCUCCGUUGGCACGUCUAGAGUCAGAGCUCAAUAUUUACGUACAAUUUCAAAUAUAUCAAGUAAUAACAUGGAACGGACUCGCUUCGCUGCAAAGACGAGAAAGCUGAGAGAAAGGAAAUUUCGAUUGGCAUUUUCGCCGACGGACAGGGGAAAACAAGAGUUCUGGCGUGUAGAAAGUGUAUAUUUUAUUGUAAUUGUACGACUACGUGAAUAUCUUAAUUUAUUAUAAUUUAUAGAUAAAAUAACCAAUCAUGUAAGUAUGUUUUACGAAUUAAUUCGUAUGUUCAUGGCGCAGAGUUUGUUGCCAAAAACAGAAAUUAGGUGAAAGGCAGAAUUCUUAACUUUGUAUCUGUUCAAAUGCAAUUUUUUCAUUUUCAUCGUCCUUUGAUUGUCUUGUUAAAAGAUCCUUUUGAUAAAUAUCUAGAAAUGUCACUUUCUCGAAAACACGUUUUCUUUACAGCAAUUGACAAAAUUUAUAUUAAAAAAAACAUAUGAUUCUUUUUAACAUAGAGCAUGUCUUUACUAGACAAUUAUUAACAAAAAAUACCAAAUUUUAGGGGAUCAGUAAUACAGUAAUAUGAACGUUGUUUUGCCUUAUAAGCAGAGGCAGAUAUAGGGUAAACUUCAUUUCGCAUGAAAAGUCGAAAAUUCAAGUACAACAAACUUCAUGCUUUUCAAGAAACGAGAUGCAUCACACACACUAUCGUGUUUAUGAUCUGAAAUAAUAUCUAUAAUUGUUCUGUUUCACAUGAGCAAAGUAAAGUCCAUACCUCUCUAUGCUUACGGUUCGAAACGAGGUCUCUAUUUGUACUGUAUAUAUUUUAUAAUUACUUUUUUGUUAAUAAUUGUUUAAUAAAAACAUGGUCGCUCUUAAAAACUACCACAUUUCUUUUUUAUACUAAUUUUAUUGAUUGUUAUAAAGAAAACUUGUGUUUUUGAAGAAAUAAAAUUUCUGGACAUUUACAAUCUUUUUUCGUAAAAACAUUUCGAUGUAAUCUUUGUGUUCAUUGCAUUACAACUCAAUCACAAAUUCAGUUUGUCAUAUUAUUUAGAUCAGAAUCAGCGCAACUCAGUUACAUACACAAAAGACUGUAAGGAUCUUCCAACGGCAAAUAGGACUGAUUCUUUUAUGUAACGUCGGAACGGAAACUCAACAACGAAUAAUUAAUACCGACCGACAAAGCAUUCAUAGACUGAUUAAAUUAUCUACCUCAACGAAUCAAAUCGUAUUAAUGUCCUUCAUGUACUAUAAUUGUCAGCUUAGAACAUCACGAUAAGAACAGUGUUACUGUAAGUUAAUGCGCGUAAAGUAUAUAUUGUACCUAUGUCUUUAAUUCUGUAAUAUAACUCUGCCAAGGGGUAAUGUUAUUUAUUUAAUAUAGCAUAGUAUCCGAUGAUUGCGGUGUAUCUUUUUUUGUGUAUUAUACAUAUAAUAUAUUGAUGGUAUCAAUUAAAAGUAUUAUAACUACAAAACUACAUUGCUUCAAGAAAAUUAUUUGUCAAUUUCUUUUUUAAAAAUUUUUCGUUUA